rnacentral:rRNA from 1 species
AGAGUUUGAUCAUGGCUCAGAUUGAACGCUGGCGGCAUGCUUUACACAUGCAAGUCGAGCGGCAGCGCGGGGGCAACCCUGGCGGCGAGCGGCGAACGGGUGAGGAAUACAUCGGAACGUACCCCGGAGUGGGGGAUAACCCAGCGAAAGUUGGGCUAAUACCGCAUAUGCUCUGAGGAGGAAAGUGGGGGACUCGCAAGGGCCUCACGCUCUGGGAGCGGCCGAUGUCCGAUUAGCUUGUUGGUGGGGUAAUGGCUUACCAAGGCGACGAUCGGUAGCUGGUCUGAGAGGAUGAUCAGCCACACUGGGACUGAGACACGGCCCAGACUCCUACGGGAGGCAGCAGUGGGGAAUUUUGGACAAUGGGGGCAACCCUGAUCCAGCCAUGCCGCGUGCGGGAAGAAGGCCUUCGGGUUGUAAACCGCUUUUGGCCGGGAAGAAAAGGCGCCACCUAAUACGGGGCGUUCUUGACGGUACCGGCAGAAUAAGCACCGGCUAACUACGUGCCAGCAGCCGCGGUAAUACGUAGGGUGCGAGCGUUAAUCGGAAUUACUGGGCGUAAAGCGUGCGCAGGCGGUCUGUUAUGUCUGAUGUGAAAGCCCCGGGCUCAACCUGGGAAUGGCAUUGGAAACUGGCAGGCUCGAGUAUGGCAGAGGGGGGUGGAAUUCCGCGUGUAGCAGUGAAAUGCGUAGAGAUGCGGAGGAACACCGAUGGCGAAGGCAGCCCCCUGGGCCAAUACUGACGCUCAGGCACGAAAGCGUGGGGAGCAAACAGGAUUAGAUACCCUAGUAGUCC